rnacentral:lncRNA from 1 species
ACAGGUGGGCACCACCGGUCAGCGACCGUUGGCUGCGGGCGGCGGCUGGCUGGGCUGGCUGGGCCGGCGAGCGGCAGCGAGCGCGUGGGGUUGACUGGGCCGGUUCGGCCCAGGUUGGCCGGGCCGGUCCAUUUUCUUUUUUUUUGUUCUUUUCUUUUCUCUUUUUCUUUUUCAGUUUUUCCUUUAUAACAAUUUAUUUUGAACUCCAAAUGGACUCAAAUAAAUUCCAGAAAAUUUGUAAAAUCAUAUCCUUUAAUGCCAUAGCAUCUGGGACUUGAUUUCUUCCAAAAGUAAAUUAUUAAAAACAGUUUUGCUUAUAUAAUUGCCUCUAGUGCAAUAAUAUUUAGAAACAAAAUAGUUUUUCAAUUCCAAAAUAAAUCCCAAAAAUUAUGGGGUAGCUCAUCUUAUUGCAUUAAACCCCUUUCUAUAUUUUUCAACCCCAUGGGUUGAAAAUUCCAAAAAGAUGCAAAGGGGAAAUUUAAAAAGGCGAAAAGGCUUAAUAAAAGGUUUUAAAAUUUAAAUCUUUGGUUUAAAGGUGCUCAAGUGUAUAAAUGGUAUGAUGCUCAUGAGUGCAGAUGCAUGAGGCAAAGUUUGGGGAAAAUUGAGAUGUUAC